rnacentral:lncRNA from 1 species
AAUAUCAUACUCAAAAACACCAAUUUGAAUUUUCGACACCUAUCAUCACUACCUUAGCAAACUUGACCAUAUAUCAACACAUCCAAACACACCAAACUAUCCAUUUAUUAACUCAAUGUUCACUAUCAAUUUCCAUACCUCAAUGAUCACAUUCAGGCAUAUCAAAACAACAUUUUAUAACAUGCAUUUUAUAUACCAUUCCAACUCCCAACCUUUAAGCACCAACAUGCCAAAAUAUCAAUAUUAUAAGACCAC